rfam:Microscilla marina ATCC 23134 1099589004114, whole genome shotgun sequence.
UCAGGGGACUCCGAAAACCUAGCAAUAGAGUAGGGA